UUCGGCCCUAGAAGCAUUGCAGGUGUGCCUGCUGUGCCAGAUGUGCGUUAGUAGCUGGUGGAGGGAGAGAGUCUCUGUCUACGUUCAGUGUUCUGACCUAUGAAUAUCUGAAUGAUUAGCAGAUUAACAUU